GAGGGGGAGAAGAACGGGAGGAGGAGGAGGAGGAGGAGGCACGAAGGCGGGAGAGGCAGCCCAGCCUCCUGGUGCCUGCAGCCCUGGGCUGUGCCUCUGGAGUCCGGCGCCGCUGGUGAACUUUGCGGCAUACUGGAUCUCUUUGGACCCUUUUACUCAAGGAAGACAUCAGACUAAGUGGAAGCCCCCUGUAGCUGAUAUCCAGAACCUGAAAACUUUCUCUUGAGAAGAUCUUUGUAGGUUGUCACAGUGGUAUAUGGAGUACACUCUUCAAACACAUCUACAGAUAAAGUACAUUGUAAACCCAAUUCCUACAAGGUCAAGAAUCAUCUCAACACUUAAAACUGUGAAGACAAAAAUGAAACAAGAAAAAAACCAGAAGAUAAUAUCUUCAUCCUUCCCCUGCUGUCAAGUACUACAACAUUGAAAUCUGCUGACAGGCAGACGACUUUAAAAGACUAAACUAUAUGUUCAUCCAAUUAAAAGACUUCUUGACUGUGAAAAUAUGGGAUUUGGGAUCUCACCACAGAAAUAAUUUGUUCAGUAUAUUUAUGUCAGCUAACACCUGGUAAAGCUCUGUUGUAUUACAUCUUGAUGAGAGAGCAACAGCAUUGUCUGAAGAAUGAUUAAAUAAGGGCCAAUUCUGUUCAAAGCUGUUUCGCAUCUCCUUGGAUUGAAGUCUCUGAAAAUGUUCUCCUUGCAUCUAUAUGGUCUUUCUGAUUCUGAUGAUGUAAACUAUUUGCCAAAGCACGAAAGUGACAGAUUGAGUACUUAAGUCCCAAUUGUUUCAAUUACUAAAUGAAAAGAAACUAAAUGGCUAAAAAAAAAUAUUUCUGUAUAAUAAAAGAACAUUACUCAUAUCGCUAGAAUAUAAAUCACAGGAAUAGCCUGUUACUUCUUCCCAGAAAGGAUGGAACAGAGCCAGUCUGUCUAACUUAAGUACUUAAACUUAGUUUCACAGAUGUGUCUCUGGAGGACUCAAAAAUAACCAUGUUAAUUAAUUUUCAUAGGAUGAAAACAGCACUUAAAGCAAAAAAAAAAACCAAAAAAAAAAACAAAACCAAAAACCAAAACAACACAGCCAGAAGCAAAUAGUCUAUCUAAGCAUCUGAAGUUUAGAAACAAGGUAAUUGUCUAGUUUAUUUUAUCCAUAUUUUAACAUUUCUUAUGUGGCUUAUUGAUAUUGAAUUUGUAAAUAGAGCUAGCUGGCUUACGCUGUAAAAACAAUACUCUAUUUAUAAUCAAAAUAAAGCAAGCAACAUCCUCACACCCACCAGAAUUUAUUCCAGACUUAUUUAAUAAUAUAGAGAAUUUGUAUUUUUAAUUAACUACAUUUAUGCUUGAAAUUUGUAUAAUUUUAUUUGAAAUCUCCAGUGUUGUUUGAAGAGGCUCAGUCACUCUGAAAAUGUGAAAAUCAGGCCAGUUACUCAGUAAGUGUGAUUUACCAUGGGUUCAACAGCCUACAGGUAUGUCCAGCCUAGUGCUGUGUAUUGUGCGGAAAUGUCUGAGCUAGUUACAAAGGAGCUAGUUAUGAAUUUGGAAAUGUAUCAGCUCUGGGCUAAACACAGCCCUGCUGACCUGACUAUACUGUUUAUAUGCUAUGAGUUAGUAUCCUUAAAUAGUUCUGUGGUAACUCAUGCAAACUUACCAACUAAUUCUAGCAUUCAACAUAUCUCUAGUCAGUGCUCCAUUUUGUAGUACAAAAAUAUACAAAACUCAAGCAUGUUUAAAAACAAGCUGUAUUAAAAAAUUUUGCACUAAAUUGUUUAAAAUUUUGUGCAGAUGUAAUUGAACAUAUUAAUUGUUAGAUGUCCUCUUUGGCCAUAGUGCUGCAGAGGUGAAAAACAGGGAGAGAACUUUAUAUGCUGGAUUGGUUUUGGACUAAAUACAAAAUCAAAGGAGUUUAAAAGAGAUUACUAAAUUACAAAAUAUGCAGGGCUAGCGGCUGAGAAGAGCUAGCCACUUCCAUGCAAUUCCAUAGACUGUACAGGGAUUCUAGUGUCAAUAUAUAGACAAACUACACCAUAUAAAAACUGAUGUAAACAUGAUGUCAAACCACAAAUGAGUGUUCAACUGUUAAUAAGGAAUAUGACAAUUAAGAUAGAGCUGUGAGAUAGUAAUUUUUUUUCCCACAGAAAUUAUAUAACUAGUAGUCUAUAAUAUUGUCUUUCUUUCCAAAAAUGUUGCUAAGUUUUACAUUCAUAACUUACAGCUCAAAAUGCUAAGUAUUUGCAUUUGUCUAUACAAAUACAUUCCUUCUAUCAGAAAGGAGGUUCUUUAUGAGAAAAUGAUGGUUCUUGAAGCAGCUGUACAUACAAACAACUCACCUGCAAACUGCUUCCCAGUUAUGAAACAUGCCAUUGAUUCCCUGGAAAAAUCUCAAAGGAUUAUUUUUAAUUGUAAAAAUACACUUAAGAUUUUUUUUCAAUUGAGUUUUUUUCCUUAAAAAUAUAACCAUGUUUUAAAAAUAAUAUAUGAAUGUAUUGAUUCAAUAAUACAGCUGUUUAACACUGUUAGGAUUUUUCACUAUCUCUGGGUUGGGGUUUUUCAGUUAUAUUUCUUUGGAAUAUUUUAAAAUUCAUUCUAUUGUUGCUUAAUUGACAGGAAUAAAUUUUGUCUUAGAUUAUCCUGGAGUAACUUAGUAUAUUUGAGGUAGAACAGAAAGUAAAUCAAGUUGAUAAAAUCAGUUCUCUGAAUCAAGAAAGAGAUGACCCUGAUUAUAGAGCAACACUAUGAGCAAGAGAGCCAGAACACUCCAACUGAAUGUCACAAAGUAUAGUUGAAAUUUUUACUAGUGCUUGUUCAAACAAGCAUGAAUGUGUCUCCAUUUUGUGUUUUCUUCUUAGAGAGUGUAUUACAAAUCUACAGAGCAAGCUCUUUCAAAAGAGCUGAUUAGAAAUCAAGAGAAAUUGAGGUUUCUGCACACAAAGAAUUUGCUUACAAAUACAUUUUUUCCUAUUAAUGUUUUUUAACAACAUAUUAAAUUGUUACUUUAUAUAUGGCCUGGUUGUGAAGCAAUUCCUGAAUUGUUAGUUUUCUUUUCUCUAUUAUAACUAGUUUACUAUGUCUAGGAUAAGUGCUACCCUUUUGAGAACAGCACAACAGCUCUCUAAUACCUGAAAAGCAAAGCAUAAAGUCCUAAGGCUUUAGUACUUAUGUUCUCUGAAUAACAAACAGAGGGAGAGAUUAAUCCAAAAUGCUGGUUUUCUCUAACUAAAAUAAGACUUUAUUGGAAAAAAAUCUAAUUUCAGAUUUCUGAUCUCUGUCUUUCCUGAAUUAAAGAGGUUUCCUAGAUGUCUAGCUUUAUUUUGAUCACCAUUUUAAGAAAAAUAAACUCAUUCUCUGGAAGUUCUUAUCAGUUUUUGACUAGAAGGAAUCUAAUAUUUUAUUUACAUAAAAUAAGUCUUGACAUAACUCAAGUAGCUGAUCCAUUUGAGAUUUUGUUUCAGGCACUACUGGUUGCUGAGUUUAGCACUCUGAUGUUCUUUCUUGUUCUUUAUUUUUUCUUCCUCGGCCUUUACUUAAAAUGUAAGUGAAAAUUCCAUUGAUAAUAAUAAGUUUGGUGGGUUUUUUUGAAUUUGAGGAUUUGGAUUUUGGGUUUUUUCUGUUUGCUUGUUUUAGUUUUGGUUAAUAAGCAUGUAGAAAAAUUGUUUACAGGCUUACUUAGGAGAUCCUGGAGGGACAUGGCAUGGUUCUGUGUUUCUGAAUGAAAAGCUCUUAACCUUACAAGAAGUGAAGAACCUUCAGUAGCUCUACAUAUUGGAACACUAUUCCUAGAAUUCAGGUUAGCAUAAAAUAAAUAUCUAACAAAUAACUAAAGAACUAUCUAAUAUCUAACAAAUAACUGAAAAUAUUUUAGUUUAGUGCAUGUACUGAUGUUUACAGUACACUUAUAUAGCGUCUGCUAACCCUCAGUCUGUCCCUAUUUGCCUUAGUAAGCUUACUAGACUCGCUGAACUAAGCUUAGGACACUAUUACCUAGACUUGUCUUACUAGAUGAAUAUUAGAACAACAACAACAAAAAAUCUUUACUAUUUGUUUAAAGACUUCCAGAUAAAGCUGCAAAUCACAUAGAGAUACACUCAAUAAAUAGGUUAUCAAGAACCUUGCAAGAAAGACACAUGACUUGACCUAGAGUUUUUUUUUGGUCUGCAUUCUGUUUCAGAUGAUAAAUUGCCUGUGAAUAAAAGGAAAUAUUUGCUUUCUGAAAUGCAAGAGCUCGAUGACCUCAGUGAAUAAUUUCUGUGCCAUAACCAUAUAUUACUCUAGUAAUAUAGGCCCAGUCAAAGACAGUCCUACUGUAAGUAUAUUAUACAUUAUGUGGACCCCUAGAGACAGAAUGGAAGUGCUUCUCCUGUGACAUGAUUACUGCGUCAGUAAAGAAGUGAACACUGACAUAGCUUAGAGGUGUGUGGAUUUCAUAGUAGUUUAGCUCUAGUUUCAGUCUACAAGUAAAACACACUUAACAGAGAACAAAAACUCUAAGCUAAGUAUCUAAAUUUACAAUAUUGUCAGUAGAGAUUAGGACCUUGGUUCAUCAAACCUGCAUUUUGAAGGUCUUCUGGUAUAUGAGAAAUAUAUAUGAGCUUAGAAGCUAUGAUUAAGACCUAUAUUAAAUCUAUAUCCUCUUUGAGAAGAAUCUGGAAGACAGGAUGAAUGGCUUUGUUAUAUUAAAUGGCUCCUGACAUCUAUGUUAAGGUUGCUUCAUUGCACCUUUAGAAGUUUCAUUGACUUUGUUCUUUAGAUCACUCUUAAUUAAAAAAAAAAUAAAAAUACCAAGCAAAGAAAAUUUAAUCAUCUUGACUAUGUGUACUCACCUAACAUAAAAUAUUUUCUCUUGAAUUGAAUCUCAUCCCCAUGACUUAAUCCAGUUGCCUGAACACAAAGAGGUAGAACCGUGUGUCAUGUCCCAAGGAAGUUUCUCUUUCCCAGCCCAUGUCAGGUAAAGGCAAGAGAAACUUAAGAAUAGGCAAACAUUGGCAAAGAUCUCUAUGCUUUUUUGCAAGGAUUCUAGUAGAAGGUCAGUUCUAAUCGUAACAUACAUGAGCCUACAUAACACAUGUAUGUACCUGAUAUGGCUUUAUUUCACAGUAAGUGCCCCAAAGGCCAAAAACCAAGCUGAUUCUUUCAGACAUUGUAUCUGCACUGGCUGUGGAAUUGAUGGUAGUGUCCUCUAUGUCUGUUUGACCCAGAGGGAUGUUUUUUUACUGUCUUACCACUGCCUCUUUAUCUUCAUUAAUCAGAAAGAAAGCCUAAAGUGACUUAGUCAGACUAGUCAUCUGCACUAUAAAUAUCUGCAUCUAGUCAAGAUUUUUUUUCAUCCUUCAAUUCCCUUUAUAGUAUAUAUUAUCUUUAACAAAUUGUUUGCUUCUUCCUAAAAUAGAUACCUUAUAUAGGUCACAUGAAUUGUUCAAGAGUAUUCUUUUUGUCUUGGUAAAUGACAAAAUGUAUCCAAAAAAAUAACUCAAUCAUAAUUAUUUGUACAACAACACAAAAGAUUAUAAAGCUGGAUGAGAUGAACAUUCUCAUUGUGCUUCUAUUUAAUAUAAUCAAUCUGCCAUAAUACAAUAAAUAUUUAAAAUUUAAUAGUUUGAGUUCACAAUUUUGAUAUCAUUGUACCAACAGAUUUGUAUGGUGAAGAAAGUUAUGUAAAAGGAAAGAAGCUGAAGAUUCUGAAAAAGAGGUUGUUUGAUCUACUAAGUAAAAUUUUAAAAACUGAGGGUUUUUCUAACAUGUGUCAUAAGCUCUUUUUAAACAAGGAUUACUUAAUGCAUGUGUGGUGAAAGAAUCAUUCAUAGGUUUCAUUUGGCAGCCAAUGAUAAUAUUUAAAGUGCUAUUCACAAAAUCAAAUCUUUGUAUGACCAAUAGUUUACAACAUAGUUGAAUUGGUUUACCUGAAGAUAACACAUUUACAGGGGAAAAUUUUUGAAUGCAUUUAUAUGUAAAUGCAAUAAGACAAGGAUGAGGAACUAUUUGUAACCAAAAUUUUUAAAUUUUACACAAAGUAAUGCUCCUGAAUCCAUUAAAAAGUUUAUCUUUAAGCCUUAAACAUCCAACACUUGGUAAAUCCAAGGAGAUACAUAUUUUCUUGUCUAGAUUCAAAUUAUGUUUAAAAGCUUAAAUAAAUACAGGUUCCAGCAUGUGGAUAGUAUGAAUUGUCAUAGUACUGUAGACAUCAGUGCCAGUUUAUACUAAUUUUAAAAAUUUAAAAAUGUAAAAAAUGCAUUUUGAGGGAAAAGUCAUAUUAAAUACAUUUCAUUUCAUUUUAGAAAAAGUAUUUAAAGGAACAACUUAUGGUAGGCUAGUUGGUGGAUGAAGACCAAAGUGUAGCAAGGAGGAUGGGGUGCAGGGAUGAGACAUCUAGGGAGAACAUGUUAAGGGAGGCUCUCAAACUUCCCUGUACCAAUUGUCACAGCUGUAACCAUCUCAAGUGACAGUACAUGAAUGAAUAUGACCUGAGAAGUAUGAUGGAAGUUCUGAAUAGAACUGGAAAAAAAACCAACCAACCAACCAAAAAAAAAAAAAAAACAGGUGAGAUGAUGGUACUGUAUGCAAAACAGCAGCACAAAUCCACAGUUUUGCUACUGAAUGGAUGAUGUUUGUUGGAGAAUUUGUAGGCCAGGAUCUUAGGGAAGGCCAGCAAGAAAAGCAGGCUGGGGUUUCACAAGAAGUUGUGAGGAGACAGAGCCAGGACAGCUGAAGCCAGCUGACCAGAAGGAUAUUCCAUACCAUAUGGCAUCAUGCUCAACAAUAAAUCCUGGGUGAAGAAGAAGGAAGGGGAUGUCAUUCCAUGUCACUGCAUUUGUUUCCCAAGUAACGUAUAUGUGACAGGGCCAUGCUUUCCUCGACAUCAUUGAACACCUGCCUGCCCAUGGGAAGCAGUGAAUUAAUCCCUUGUUUUGUUUUACCUAUUGAACUGUCUUUAUCUCAACUCUGGGCUUUUGCAUUUUCAUCCUUUUGAUUGUCUCCCCCAUCCUGCUGUGGGGGAACGAAUAAACAGCAGUGUGGGGCUUAGCUGCCUACUAGAGCUAAGCUUCAGCAGCUGACAACAUUUUGAAGCUGCUCUCAAAAUGGAAAAAUGGAAAUUUCACAUCUAUUUUCAAUAAAAAAGAAAGGAAGACAUAUCUGGGAAAUGAAAUAAAUUAUAUUAUAUCAGCUUUACCUCUUUACUCUGGAAGAUUUUUAAUCAAAUCCUGCUGUAAGUCUUUCACACCUACAUGAAGGAGAUUGAGAACAGGCAGCAUGUAUUUACCAAAGCUUCUUUAGCAGCCUGAUGGUCUUCACUGGUGCUAUGUCUGGCUGCGUGGGUGGGGGGAGAGCCAUGUAUGUAAAUUACUUUGAUUUUAGCAAUAAUCUCACAGCCAGCCAUAAUAUAUUUGCAGCCAAAUCUCCUGAAGUUUGACAAAAUUUGCAAAGUUAUGUCCUUGGAAUGGAAUAAUCCCAUACUCCCAUACAGUCACAAUAUUUUCAAAUGGCUAGAGAGCAGAUUUCCAGGUAAUUGUAACCUGGGUAUCCCUGUGGCAAAUUAAAUAUGAACCAGCAGAGUAAUACCCAUGGCAAAGAAGGCAAAUGAUAUAUUGUGCUGCAUUAGCAAGCAAGUAGGCAGCUGGUCAAAAAUGCUACUCCUUUCUGCUUGGCAUUGUGUGUGAAAUUGGUUCUCAAGUACUAUGUCCAGUUUUGGACUUCCCUUUCCAAGGAAUACACUGAAAAUCUGCAACAAGUUUGUCUUUAAAAUGAUUUGGGGACAGAAGCAUGAUGUAUAAGUAGUUUUCCUGAUGUCUUCUUGGAGGUGCACAGUGAAAGCUCAAGAGGGAAUGUAUAUGCCAGUAAGGAGUGGUUUUCUUAGUGGUCAGUACUGGGACCAGUCACUCUCAAACAUCUUUCUUGGCAACAUGAACAGUGGGAUUGAGUACACCACCACCAAGUCUGCAGACAGCACUGAGCUGUGUGAUGUGAUCACAUGGUGAUGGAGGUAAGGGAUGUCACAGGCUUGAGAGUGAGCCUGUAGAGAAGUUAAUUUUAUGAAGUUCAACAAGGCCGGCCAACUGUUUGACUAAGUUUGCCAGAGCAGAAGUCAUUUUUAUGCUCUCUAAUCCCGUAAUAAAAAACAGAGCAAUGAACCACAUUUGAUAACCAGUGUAAUAAUGUAUCACAGCAAAGUUUUACAGAACCAUAAGACAGAAUGCAAUGGUAGUAAGAUUGUCAUGGUUUUAAGUGUAAAAAAGGGAGAAGGAGUAAGUUUUUAAAUACAGGGUCUUCUGAAUGACUAAUUUUUUUUUCCAUUAAUUUUUAAAAUUAAGAGAUGGUAAAAAAGUAUUUUUUUCUCAUGUCCUAGAGGUUUCUUAAUUAAUAUUGGACAGUUGCAUCUAUUAUCAAUGCUCUGGGAAAACCUAAGCAAAUGUGGCUUGCGGUAAUGGCCAACAACAUGAAAAAUACUAAUGGCAGAAAUUAAUUGACAAGAAAAUUCAGAAAUAAUAAGUGAUUGAAUAUGGUGUCUAGUUUCAUUUUUUCUUAAUAAUUCAUAAGAAUGUUACAAUACUAACUAUAAUCUUUAAAUAACAUUGGCAUUCCCUCAGGAUCCCAUACUUUUUCUAUCUUCUAUAGGCAGAAAAUAAUAAUUUUAAAAAUGCUAUCUUAUUCAUCAUAGCUACUGUUUAUAUGUUACUGAAAAAGAAAGAUUAAUGAGCCAAUGUGCUUUUAUCCAAGAAGCAUAAUUAGUCUGCUUCACUGAAAUGAAUAAUUAAGAGGGACAUUUUAAAAGAAAACAAUAUGUUAACGGCUAAUUAAAGUUUUGGAACUUAUAUGACAAGCCAUGUGUUAUGUGUUAUUGUAAGACAUUUAAAGAGUCAGGGUCACAGUUUUUGGAAGCUCUUGUUCUUUGCAAUUGAUACAAUCUAAAAUGCUCAUUUUUAAGAAGCAUUUCUUACCAGAUUUUUAAUGCCCUGAGUUUCUAAGUUAAAAUGCAUUUUCAUUUCUAUUUGGUUUUAGCACUUUUAUGCCAUAUUUGUGAAUUAUAAGGUAAUUUCUUGUGAGUUAUAAAAAUCUGGAUCCAAACUGUACUUUAAACAAGUAUGAAUGGAAAAAUUUAACAUGCCAAUACCAUUUGUAAAUUGGCAAUUAUGUAAAUCUCUUUCAUUUUGCAGCAUCUGUGGAAAAAAAAUUAAAACUAUUCACAUGCACUUUUUCAGAUCUAUUUGGUACAAUUUUUAUAGUCUAUAAAUCAAUGAAGUGGUACACAAACUGUGUGCAAACAUUACCUUUCUUCUUCUGUUUCUUUUACACCAAACAAGUAGAAGUAUUUUUUAAUCUAUUUAUGAGAGAAAUAUCGUUAUAUUUAGUUCUUGUAAGUUUUAACUUGGUGAAAUGUGAGAGUAUAUCAAUAUUUAGAUAAUUGCAGGAGGCGUAGCAGUGUCUUAGCCAGAACAGUAAAACAUGCAAACUGUAGGCCUUGUUCUGUUGGCAGUGAGAGUUAACACUGGUAUAUAAUACCAUGGUGACAACUAUUUUAAAAUAACUUUGAUUUAGAGAUGCCUGUUUCUGUCUACUGACUAAUAAGUCUAGUUUACUUAGAUUAAUUUCCCAAAUUUUAGGCAACUAAAUGUAGCUGAGAUUAACCCUUUCUUCUGUGUAAAUGAUGCAUAGUUUUAGUGAAAAUUAAAAAUAUGAACUGCUAGUAUUGAAAAUGAGGAUUAUAUACCCUGAGGUGCUUUAAGCACAGCAUAGAAACGUUUUUCUGACUGGUGAUUGUCCCACUGUACUGUGGUGUGUCCUGCACCUCAGUGCAGUUUUGAGAUCCAAAAUAUAAGAAGAGAAUAAAGUUACCAGACUGUCUGGAAGGCAGCAAACAUGGUGAGGGGCUAGAGGGAAUGAGGAGUAGCUGAGAAUGCUGUGUUGGAGAAGAGGAGACUGACGGGAAUGAUUGCUGUCUUCACCAUAAGGAGGAGUGGAGAUCUCCACAGGCAAGUGGAAAUGGAAGUGCUGAUCUCCACUUUGUGGUGUCCAGGAGAGGAUGCAAAGUAAUGUCUAAAAGCUAUGUGAGAAAAAGUUCAGAUCGGAUAUUUGGAAAAAAUGCUUCCCUGAUCUGGUAUUCAAACACUGGAAAAAGCUCCCCAAGGAGCUGGUCAUGGCUGCAGGCUUCUGAUGUUCAGGAAGCAUUUGGAAAACACUCUUAGAUAUAUGGUUUAACCAUUAGAUGGCCCUGUGUGGAAUCAGAAGUAGACUCAAUGACCCUUGUGGAUCUCUGCCAAUUCAGGAUAUUCUAUGUUUCAGUGAAUUAUAUGGCAAAUGUAUAUAGAAAACAUUAAUAUUUCAUAAUAGGAACCUAUUAUGCUAUGAAAUACUAUGUGAUGAAGUUGUCAAAUUAUGCAAGCAAUAGAAAAAAGCAUUUUGCCUUUCUAGAACAAAGAACUUCAAAAUUGUUGAUAUUUAAAGGAACCCCUCUUUUAUGGGAAAUCAUCUGAAAGAUAGUUAUUUGAUUUGGAACAAGAACAAAUUUUGAAAUACCAGUUUUCAGCUAAAUAAAAAGUAACAUCUUGCACAGCUCCGGUGAUAGCUGUGUGUGAAAUAAAGGCUAAGUGCAGACAUUUAAAAAUGUGAUUUUUGGCAGUAGAGCAAAUGGCAUUUGAAACUAUUCCAGUCUUUAAAGGCUUUUUCAUGAUUACUGGCUACUAGAACAUUUCUUAAGAUAUUUCAGAACUCAGUUACUUACAUAACAUGAGUAUUUAAAGAUAAUUCUUUAUAGCCAUUCAACAAUCACUGUAGUAAAUACAGGGAUAUAUCCAGUUAAUAUACAUAGGGAGAUGGUUGAUCUUGCUAUUAUUUCUGAAAGAAGAAAAUCCAGGGGAAAGGCAGGAACAAGUGAAAGAAACACUGGUGUGAGACAGUUGAACUAUUCUGAGAAUAUUCUGAAUUCUCAAUUUGUCAGCUUUAGAAGCUGACAGCUUUCACAGCUGUGGGAGAUAAAGGUGAAGUAGAACCAUAUUUGCCUCCCAGAUGAGUUCUCUGCAUUUUAGGCCUUAUGGAGACACAGUCAAUCCUUCUAAGAGGCUGGCAAACAAAAGCCCAGCAGUGCUACAUUGGUGAAUGUGUUUUGUACUGAUUGAGAAACUAAACCAAGUUGAAAUUCCUAUGAGACCUGAUGUUUUGUUUCAAGGUAGAGUAAUUAAUAGAAAAAAAAUCUCAAAACUCUGCUGCUGAGAAACUAAAACACAUCCACUGGCAGGUUUCAUCCACCUCCACUAAAAAUUUCAAAUAAAGAACAAACCAAAACAAAUUUUAAAAAACCCCCAUGAUGAAGUCCUAGUAGAUGCUCAUGUCAACUUUCAUUUAAAUCAUUUAAUGCACAGAUAUAAUUUGAUUAGGGUCUUGGACUGUUCUCUUCUUACAAGUCUUUCAUUAAACAGAGCUUUUCUUUCAUGUUUUCAUUUCCCCUUCAUAUUAUUAGGCAAGUGUGCAGUUAUGUGAAUACAUUAUUUGGUAAAAUAAAUCAGAUUAUUACUAUGUCCUUCAAAUCCUUUCCUACUGGUAUGGAAUGCUCUCUGUACACUGUGAUUGUGCUGUCAUUUCACUCCAUAACAAGCUGGAGCAGAGAGCUCUCUCAUUUUAGAGAAUUUGUAAAGACUAGGAGUCCAUGGGAAGUUUGACUUUUGCAUCACUGCCAAAACACAUUAUAUUUAAAUAAUAUCUUUCAGAAAAAGGCAUACAGAAUUUCAUCCUUUGUUCUAUGAGGUGACAAAGUUUCUGAAAAGUAUUCCCAAACAACUGCUUUAGUCCCUCUAUUAGUGUUCUUUGACCUUUCUGGCAAAAAUCCCUUUUCAAAUGGUUUCACCAGGUUUUUCAUUACACAAGUCAGCUUCCCAAGUUCCUCAUCCUUUAACCAGUCUUGCAUCCUAAAGCCAUGACAGCCCAGUAAUGUGUUUCAAAAUGAAAAUUUGUUUUUCAGCAUGGGGAACAAAUCAAGCCUAGACUGUAUUUUGUCAUGUUUGCAAUAUAUAUGUUGAAAUUCAGCUCUCAUUUGCAAUUCACAGUUAGGGCUACCCUGAGUCUUUUACAUUAUUUAGAAGGCUACAUUGCAAAAAAUAAAAUGGAGCAAUAAUACUUCAUGCUUCCUGAGGACCUAAAUAAAAUUGUAAGCUACUCCAACUCUUUUUUUUUUUUUUUUUAAGUAUUAUUUACCUUUUCCUUGUAGGGGGCUUCCUGCUUUUGUAUGCUUUCACCAUUUUGAGAAUUUUUUGCAAUAAAUAAUUUUUUCCUUUUUUUUUUUUCUUGGUGCCUCCUUUGUCCCUUUUGCCAAUUUGACUUGUUUGAUAGUUGUUUUAGUGUGCUUUAUUCUUCUAUUUUCUUCCUAGUAACCUAUGGAAGGUCCACUGAAAUUUUAACAAAAUGUUUGGGUUUUAUGUCAAAGAAUAAAAUUAUCCACAGAUAUCACCAAGAAACAAACAAUUAAAAAUACACAUAUGAUUCAAAGCAGAAUUUUUAAAACUUGGGAGCCUCUCUGUCCUUAAAAAGAGUGAUGUACCUGCAAAUAAGAUUAAUUCACUUGUGAAACAUCAGUAUAAGAACUUCAAGAACCUGAUCAUUGAAAGCAUAAUCAACAUGCCUCAAGGAAGUGUUUUUUUGUGUUGUUAGAAAAAUAUAAUGAAUACCGAUUCUUUUUAACUGAAAACUUCUAAAAGUAAAGACUAAGGACUUGACGAAAUAGAAUUUUUAUUUUUCAGAGACCAGUUUGGAAAACUCAGCUCUAUCUACAGCAAUACUAAAAUGUAAUGUGAUCAGAAUCAAGAUGAAAUGAGUUUAUAAAAAAGACAGGAUAAAUUUGUGAUCAAGGGGCUAAUCCAAGAAGUAUUUUUAUUCUGAUAUAAUUAACUGUUAAAGAAAUGGUUUUUUUUCUUCUCACUUCUGUUAAUUUAUAAUUAUGGUCGUAAAAUAUCCAAUUCUAAGUUAAAAAUCUUAAUGAAUUUUAAAUAUUUCAGUAUAUUUCAAAAUAUCACCAUAUUGUUCUAUUGAGUACUAAAUGGUAGACUCCUUUUUGUGUAAAAGAAAAACUGAAAUAAAAGAUAUGUAACAGACUGAGCUAAAGGAAGGAAAAAGCUCAUCAGUUUGACAUACUGUUCCCAUCUAUUCAAAGACAGAGGUCUUGGAGAAUUUUCUAAAAAAAUUAAUGUGCGUAUAAAUUUAUAUAUUAGCUCUCUGAAUGGUUUUUUUUUUCAGCUUUUUUCAGUGCCUCAAAUUCCCACUGGUAAACUGAAAUUCCCUUUUUGUUUUUUUUUCUUCCUCAGUUUUUCCUUUUCUGUAAUUAGACAAUCCUGGACAUCACCUUCUUAAAAUACCAAUGGUAUAAAUACUUCAAUGACUUAGAGAAUUGUUGGAUUCAUUACUGAAAAAAGUUAAUAAAACAAUAACAACAGAAUUUGAACUCAUCUAUGUAUAGAAAGAUUAAAAUUUAACAAAAAAAUAAUUAAAAUUUAACAAAAAAAGAAAACAGUGUCGAUAUGGACAGAGUCAAAAUAAGGGUUAGAUUAUUUACAAAAUGGACACAUACCAGAAUAAGGAUUCAAGCCACACAUCAUAACUGUUUUCCUAUUCUCUGGUCAACAGGAAGAGAGGAUAAACUGGUGACUAUGAGAAUCAGAAAAGCUGAGUUCUUCUUAAACAUCAGAUGUGCAGUAUGAGUGCCGAGCAACAAUGUCUAACGCAUAUCAUCAGAUGUAACUUGGUCAUAAGCCAGUUUAACAUCAAGGUAGAACCUCUGAUUUUUUUCAUCUCUGGUUCUUUCCCUGCGUUCCCCCAUGCAUACAAAUCAUGUGUAAGAAACCUAAAAAGUAGCUGAUUAUUUUUCCUUUUAUUUCUGUAGCUAGCAGAUUUUCCUAGUGAAAGCUGUCUGCAAUUCUGCUUCUAGUCAUUCUUUUUGGUUUCUUUUUCCAUGUAACUUAUAUUGAUUCUCAUUUAAGCAUUUUUCAUGUACUAUUAGCUUUCCCCAAAUUUGAUAGAUCUCCUUCUUGGUCCUUAAUUUGGAUUACAUUAGUUCUUUCAUUUCCUUUGUCCUUUCUUUCCUUACACAGUUAAUACCAUCUUGCCAUUUGAAGAGAUUCUUUUUGAAACAGUUCUGUACAAAUUCUUUGUGUGUUUGUCACAAUGACUCUCAUUGCUUGUGCAGCAGACCUUCACUGCAUUCAGAACAGGGCAUUUGAUCUGAACAAAAGGCACAAGGGUAAAAGUUAGUUUGGAUAGUAGUAUGUAUACAAAUUGCCAACACUAACACAUUCAGAAUCACUUAAAAGAUGGCUGUACUUGUUAGGAAGUUCAUAUUCCUUGGCAUGUUCUUCUGUACCAUUUGCUGCCUUAGCAGAGUCUUGGCUCAGAGCUUUCUGCAUUACCUGCUAAUGCUGCAGGCACGUUUUACUCCGAAAAACAGUCUGACCUUUUUAGUAAACAUCAGCUAUGAGGAAUUAUGAGCAUCCCUGAACAAAAAUUAAGUUAUUUUUGAGAUGUAUUUGAAAUAUUAAUUAAUUAAUAUUAAUAAAGGUGUCCCCAUGGGAUGUUUUUUUUCUUUUGGUGGCAUUUAGAACCAAAAAGAUACCAGCUUUUAUCUUCAUUUUAAAUACAUUCAAACUAAAAAUUCAAAGCAAAUAGUUUAUUUUACUAGAAAACCUACACUGACAUGGCUGGCACAUUUAUCUGUCAUUACACCUUUGGGUCAAAAUUAGCUUCUUUUUAGAUGACUACAGCCUGUUCAUCCCUUUAAAACUUCCAACAGCUGCAGGACACAUUCAAGCAAAUUUGCCAGGCUCUAAGCUUUCUAUCAAAGUGCAUCUGCCUUCACUGGUAAAAUAAACCGACUGCACAGUAUUUGAAGUACUUGGCUUGAAGUACCUCCCCAGACUUUAAAUAUCAGUCUGCCUGAAACACUACUGAGAUUAUCUCAACUACAGCCUUUUCACUUAGCAAUGUGCUUCUUCCUCAGCAAUAUGUUUCUAAUUUAUCCUUGGCACAUUCAAAAUAAUUGCUACCCUGCCUGAUGCAAAUUUGCCUCAGCUCCUCCAUUCUAGUUUUGAAGUCAUCACCAUCACUCAUCUCAGUUUUCUGCUUUGAACAGUAGUUCAGUUUGUUUUGUGGAUAACUGCUUUUGCCCUCUCUUGUUAGAAUUUAUUGGUGACAUGCUUCACCAAUCAUCUUUACUCACAUUUUUUUUUAAAUAGACAGCUUCACUUUGGGAAAAAAAUAUUUUAAAGCACAAUUUUUGUCUCCUGACAUAACUCAGAUAUCUCAUCUACUCUUCCACAGUUCUGAUGCCUCCAUCCUUCCUACAGAAACAGGCAACUGGGAACUGUGGUUGUUAUGAAUGUCCCAGCCCUACCAGACUCACAUUGUGUUCAUACCUAUCUGGAAAAAAAAGCAAAAAAUUGUCUGUCUACGCUACUACUCAUUCUAAGAACCUAUUUAAUGGUUUUGCACACAAUGAACCACUGAGGAGGAAAGACCACAAGGUAUAUAAGCAGAUUUUUUCAUAAUGAGGUCCAAAAACAUGAGUAAUUUCCACUACGGUAAGAGUUUAGGGACUAAUAGAAUCAAAGGCUUAAUUUAAAAUUUCACUACUCUGAAAAGAUUCAAAUGGAGCUAUCAGUGUUAAGAGAUGAUGGAGUUCUUGCUAGUAAGACAAGCUGAGCACAUGAACAAGACUUUUGACAGAAGCUAGAAGGUAAAGUUAAAAGACAUAAUUUUAUCUGGCUGGGGACUGCUGUUAUUAAAUAGUAUGUCUAAGGUAUCUUGACUUGCAGAAGAGAGAAGCUGAAUGGAAUCACAGGAGAAUUACCUCCUACUGUCUAAACUGACUACAGCAAAUUUGGUGAACCUGGGUAUUUGUACUUAAUCCUGAAAAAGAUGGUGGUCUGGCCUAGACCAGCAUCACAGCUUGUAUCUGGAACCACAACUGAGCAGUAGAUGAAGUAUCUGUCGACAGGGUUAGUACACAUAAAAGACAGGGUAAUAUCUAUUCCUGACAUAUUUUAAACACCAAAAA